rnacentral:snoRNA from 1 species
UUAAGCCUAUGAUGGCUAGUUAUACCAGUCUGAAAAUCAACUGAGGAAAAAAUAAUUUGUUCUGAGGCUUGA